rnacentral:rRNA from 1 species
UGGGGAAUCUUAGACAAUGGGGGCAACCCUGAUCUAGCCAUGCCGCGUGAGUGAUGAAGGCCUUAGGGUUGUAAAGCUCUUUCAGCUGGGAAGAUAAUGACGGUACCAGCAGAAGAAGCCCCGGCUAACUCCGUGCCAGCAGCCGCGGUAAUACGGAGGGGGCUAGCGUUGUUCGGAAUUACUGGGCGUAAAGCGCACGUAGGCGGAUUGGAAAGUUGGGGGUGAAAUCCCGGGGCUCAACCCCGGAACUGCCUCCAAAACUACCAGUCUUGAGGUCGAGAGAGGUGAGUGGAAUUCCGAGUGUAGAGGUGAAAUUCGUAGAUAUUCGGAGGAACACCAGUGGCGAAGGCGGCUCACUGGCUCGAUACUGACGCUGAGGGGCGAAAGCGUGGGGAGCAAACAG